rnacentral:rRNA from 1 species
UGCGAGUCGUGAGGGUUCGGCCCUCGGCGGACUGCUCAGUAACACGUGGAUAAUCUGCCCUAGGGUGGGGAAUAAUCUCGAGAAAUUGAGGACAAGGCCCCAUAGGUCCGGAAUGCUGGAACGCUUCUGGACUCAACCUAGGAUGAGUCUGCGGCCUAUCAGGUUGUAGUGAGUGUAAUGUACUCACUAGCCGAUAACGGGUACGGGCCUUGAGAGAGGUAGCCCGGAGAUGGACUCUGAGACACGAGUCCAGGCCCUACGGGGCGCAGCAGGUACGAAAACUUCGCAAUGCGGGAAACCGCGACGAGGGGAUUCCAAGUGCCAGUACUAUGUACUGGCUUUUACUUUGUAUAAAAAGCAAGGGAAAUAAGGGCUGGGAAAGACUGGUGCCAGCCGCCGCGGUAAUACCAGCAGCCCUAGUGGUGAUCGUUAUUAUUGGGCCUAAAGCGUCCGUAGCCGGCUGGGUAAACCCUUGGGUAAAUCGUACGGCUUAACCGUGCGACUUCCGAGGAGACUGCUCAGCUUGGGACCGGGAGAGGCCGGAGGUACUUCCGGGGUAGGGGUGAAAUCCUGUAAUCCUGGAGGGACCACCAGUGGCGAAGGCGUCUGGCCAGAACGGGUCCGACGGUAAGGGACGAAGCCUUGGGGCACAAACCGGAUUAGAUACCCGGGUAGUCCAAGGUGUAAACGCUGCAGGCUUGGUGUUGGAGGUCCUACGUGGGCGUCCAGUGCCGGAGAGAAGUUGUUAAGCCUGCCGCCUGGGGAGUACGGUCGCAAGACUGAAACUUAA